rnacentral:tRNA from 1 species
GAGGACGUAGCUCAGUGGUAGAGUGCUUGCCUGACAUGCAUAAAGUCCUGAGUUCAAUCCCUAGCACCACCA